rnacentral:rRNA from 1 species
UCUAUAAUGCAGUCGAGCGAUGGAUUAAGAGCUUGCUCUUAUGAAGUUAGCGGCGGACGGGUGAGUAACACGUGGGUAACCUGCCCAUAAGACUGGGAUAACUCCGGGAAACCGGGGCUAAUACCGGAUAACAUUUUGAACCGCAUGGUUCGAAAUUGAAAGGCGGCUUCGGCUGUCACUUAUGGAUGGACCCGCGUCGCAUUAGCUAGUUGGUGAGGUAACGGCUCACCAAGGCAACGAUGCGUAGCCGACCUGAGAGGGUGAUCGGCCACACUGGGACUGAGACACGGCCCAGACUCCUACGGGAGGCAGCAGUAGGGAAUCUUCCGCAAUGGACGAAAGUCUGACGGAGCAACGCCGCGUGAGUGAUGAAGGCUUUCGGGUCGUAAAACUCUGUUGUUAGGGAAGAACAAGUGCUAGUUGAAUAAGCUGGCACCUUGACGGUACCUAACCAGAAAGCCACGGCUAACUACGUGCCAGCAGCCGCGGUAAUACGUAGGUGGCAAGCGUUAUCCGGAAUUAUUGGGCGUAAAGCGCGCGCAGGUGGUUUCUUAAGUCUGAUGUGAAAGCCCACGGCUCAACCGUGGAGGGUCAUUGGAAACUGGGAGACUUGAGUGCAGAAGAGGAAAGUGGAA